rnacentral:rRNA from 1 species
CCUACGGGUGGCAGCAGUGGGGAAUAUUGGGCAAUGGGCGCAAGCCUGACCCAGCAACGCCGCGUGAAUGAAGAAGGCUCUCGGGUUGUAAACUUCUUUUAUUCGGGACGAAACAAAUGACGGUAGCGAAUGAAUAAGCCACGGCUAACUACCGGCCAGCAGCGGCGGUAAUACGUAGGUGGCAAGCGUUAUCCGGAUUUACUGGGUGUAAAGGCGGUGUAGGCGGUGGAGGAAGUCAGACGUGAAAUUCCAGGGCCCAACCCUGGAACUGCGUUUGAAAUUGUGCUUCUUGAGUGAUGGGGAGGCAGGCGGAAUUCCGUGUGUAGCGGUGAAAUGCGUAGAUAUACGGAGGAACACCAGUGGCGAAGGCGGCCUGCUGGACAUUAACUGACGCUGAGGCGCGAAAGCGUGGGGAGCAAACAGGAUUAGAUACCCCAGUAGUC